GCUCAGGCCCCGCCGGGAGGGCGCGGGCGGGCGCGAGGCGGAAGAACCGCGGUGUUCACGGAGCACUUUCCAGGGUGCAGGUUGUGUUGGGCCUGGGGACGGGGAGAGGAUCAGGGCGUCCUUAGGAAUCCUUACGGAGCGCAGAAGUGGGAGAGCGAAUGACCGCGAAUCGGAAGGGGCCGAAAUAGAGACGCCGAGCAGUGCAACGGGAGCCUAAGUCACGGAGCUUCCAUGGUGCGCUUUUGCAUUUAAUGGCCGUGCAGGAAAGUCUAAUUCUGAACCACCUAUCGGGAGGCGAGGAUUCAUGUGGAAGUGUUUCAUAAGCCUGGAAGCCCUGGGCUCACGUAAAGUGCUAUGGGAAAGCAAUUUAUGGAAAUAAGGAGGUUUGGUAAAGGGCUGUUUGGCAGAGUCCUGAGCCUGGAAACAUUUGGUCCAUGUGAAUACCACAGCAGAGGACGUUCUUAAUCAGACAGGAUGGCCUGCUUUAUGGAUAGCAGCUGGUUCUGGCUGUCUAGGAGUCAAGGAAGAGAUGUUCCUCUGUACUGGAUAUGGCCAAACAUGGGAUGGUGAUUAACCUUGAUUAUAAGGGAAAGAGAGCUAUCUUCCAUUUACUUGUUACCACAUUGUAUGACGAUUGGAUAUUAUUCAAUAAUUAAUAUUUAUUAUCACUUAGCAAUACCAGGCAUGAUUUUAUGUGCUUUACUUUGUGUAUUACUUAAUUCUUUUUUUUGUAUUACUUAAUUCUCAUAACAACCUGAAAAAAGUGUCUACCUGUGUUCCUUAUAAACACAGAUAUGGAGUACAGAACAUUCAUACCUUGUACAAUUGAUAGUACCUAUCAACUGAGCACUAUGUUUUCUUGACCUUACUUGCGGAAUUCUGACUGAAUUAGACUGCAGUGGCUGCACAAGGAUACUUAGCAAGAACAGUUUGAUAAUUAAAAAGGGAGAGAGAAUUUUAAUGUUCAUUAGUAGGGGACUGGUUAAGUUAUGGUGUAGCCAUAUUGUGGAAUAUUAUCCUGCUGUUCAGAUUGAAGUAGAUCCACUUGUACAGAUGUGGAUGGAUGUCCAUGACACAUUGCUUGGUGAAUAAAUUGUAGAACAAUGUGUGUAUUUUAAAUAAAUCUUUGUAUGUGUAUAUGUAUGUACUUGUGUGUAUAGAAGAAGUUUGGAGGAACACCCCAGAAUUCUAAUAUGAAUUAUUCUGGAGAAUGGGACUUGGAGGCGGGAGGGAAGAUAUUCUUCUGUGCUUUUUAUAUUUUGUAUUUUUCCCCCAAUCAAGUUUGUAUCCUUUUUUUUGUAAUUAGAAAUUUAAAUAAACUUUGAGAAAGUC